UUCGAGUGGCGGACGGGUGAGUAACGCGUGGGUAACCUGCCUUACACAGGGGGAUAACACCUGGAAACAGGUGCUAAUACCGCAUAAGCGCACAGGGCCGCAUGGCCCGGUGUGAAAAACUCCGGUGGUGUAAGAUGGACCCGCGUCUGAUUAGCUUGUUGGCGGGGUAGGGGCCCACCAAGGCGACGAUCAGUAGCCGGCCUGAGAGGGUGGACGGCCACAUUGGGACUGAGGCACGGCCCAAACUCCUACGGAAGGCAGCAG
rnacentral:rRNA from 1 species